CUCGCUCGCUCUCAUAUUCCGCAUUAAGAAUCACAUUUCAUUGAAGGAGGAGAAUCAAGGCUUCAUUUCUUCCUCUUCCUCCUCUCAAAACACGGUCUUAUUUCCCAUCCAGUGCCCCUCUCUCAUUCUUUUCUUCACUUCUGAUCUCCCCCCCCCCUUUUUUCCCACUGCAUUUUGCUCUGAUGCAUCUUUUUAUCCAUUUCUCCCCUCUUUUGCUUCACUCAUCCUCCUGUCCCAUUCUUUCCCCUUCCCAAAGUAAGCUUCUCUUCCCUUUGGGUCAACUCUCUCCUUCUCUUACCACUCAGACUUUGUAGACACUGCAGUCUUUCGUUCUUACUUGUUAUUAGUGUUUACUCUGUUGUUUUGAAGGAACUUUUUGCUCACGGAAAAGUUUGCUGUUGCUCUUUUCUAUCAGAUCUUAUAUUUACAUUGAGUUUUUGGUUUUUCAGAUUUUUGUUGUCAUUAUUUUUAACGAAAAUGUUCUCUUUUGUUUUUCAUUUUUGAUGAUCCUGGACUUGACAACACUCAGACGAUACAUGUGGGCGGAUUAAAGAACAAGACAGAGAGGUGGGAGGACCCCACCCACACAUGCUCACCUUGCUGGACGGACGCACAAACACCAUUUUGUCUACAGGUUCCUUGACUCUGGCUGACAUCAGCAGUCAUGUGGUAGCAGAGGAGCGACCAGGAUUUUAUGACAGAGGCCUACAUAGGUCGUUGGCUACUCCAGUGGAAGUACAAUGAUCAGCAAUGCUGCUGAUGCACUUAUUGACAGGAAACUCGGGGCCGAGUGCAUGCCAUCUCAUAAAAAUUACAACAAAGGCCAAAAGGCGUUUGCUUCUGGUGCUUGUAGCAUUUUCCUUUGACCACCAAAUGUUCUUGUAAGAGUAAAGUGUGGAUAGAACAAGGAUGAGUAAAGGAGAAAUGCAAGUUAUUUAAAGUGCAUUUAAAAUGAGUGCAGAUGAGAUUAUAUAACUGCUUAAUUUACUAUUUAAAAAUGCAAAAGGGCUUAUGCUUACGGCACAAAAAAAGCCAUUGAACUUGCAUGUGUUGAGACUGGAGGAAAACCACGUGAAUACACUACCAAGAUAAAGGCCAGGCUUGUCUCUGCUGUAAGGCUACAGUGCUAAACACACAGCCACUGCCUUUAUAACACAUAAAGCACUUCAUUUUUUAGUGAACCAUACAUCUUUCAAUAAUUUUGACAAACAAAAGUUGGGAGUUGUGUCAGCUGGCAGAGAGAGUGUGGUGGUAGAUCAUACAACAGAGAAAGGAGCUGUUUGAUGCCGAAAAGUGAGAAAAGUUUAAUAUGUGCAAAAACAGGCACUUUAUAGCAUGCAGAACCAAAACAGGCUUGGAUUCUGGAUAUUUUGGAUUGUGUUAUUUUUGGGGGGCUUUUAUGGCCUUUAAUUGACAGGAUAUAGCUUGAAGACAGGAAAGAGGAGAGAGAGGGGGUGACAUGCAGCAAAGGCUUCGAACCCGGGCCGCUGCCAAGGACUCAGCCUACAAGGGGCGCACACUCUACUGUGUGAGCUAGUCGUCGCCCCCUCUUUUGUGUUCUUGAAUAAAUGUUCCCUUCUUUUUUACUCUGUAUUAUCACUGACAGGUUAGGGUGCCUGUUUCCACUGAUGUCCAUGGAUUUUUUUUUCUUCAGAUUUUAUUCCUCCAGAAGCUACAUGUCUGGCUAAGGAGUCCAUAAGCAAGACAUGUUCAUGUCACUCUAUAAAUGAUCUCAUGAUAUGUAAAUAUGAAAGUAUUUUUAAAGCUGCUUUUUUCUCUGUAUGUGUAUUGUAUAGUCACACCUUAUGUGGUUCCCAACCAAUACCUAUACUGAGUGUGAGGUUUAGAGCUUUAUUCUGCACCCUCAGGAAACAAUGUAUAACUCUAGUCUGCACUAUAUCACUCCUUGUUCAUUUACAGCCCUUCAAAUCCCUGCAGGAGCGGUCAUACACAUGAUUUAUACAGGUGUUGUACUCCAUAAUUCUUAGAAAAUUCAAACUGGUAAAACAGCAGCCAGAGCCCUUCCAGCAGAGUCUGUAGGAGUUUUUUGUAUCCAGUAUUUAUAGAAUUUAGCAUCCAGUAUGUUAAAGGUAAUAUAAUAACAAGACUAAGACUCUACAGCCAUGCUAGCAGCUUUAUAAGUCUGUACUUAUGCACAGUGGUGCUAAAUGCUAAUAUCAGCAUGCUCACUGUGACAAUGCUGUGUUAGGCAGGUAACAUUUACUGUACCAGGAUCACGUUCUUAGUUUAGCAUGUUAGCACUUAACAUAUUGCACUGCCAUGUUUCUAUAGCCCAGAACGGAGAAACCAAACAUGCUCUCAUUGUCGAGAGGGCCUUUCAUGCUUUUACGUUACCUGAAGGCCACCGUAGUUUCUCCUACACACUUGGAAAGGGAGAGGUGAGGGGAGGAGUAUUCAGCCAGUUUCAAUCUGCAACCUCACAACUAGAUGCCACUAAAUCCACACACUGGUCAUUUAAUAAUUCGAAUUUACUAUCAAGGGGCCUUGAAUAUCGGUAGCAGGUUUCAUUGCAAUCCAUCCAAUAGUUGCUAAGAGGUUUCACUCUGAACCAAUAACGUCAACCUGCUGGUGGUGCUAGAGGCAAAGCUAGUUGUGUUAAUCCUCUGGGGAACCUCUGGAACAAAAUUGCCGGGCAAUCCAUCCCAUUGUUGAAAUACAGUAUUUCUGCCUGGAGCAAAGCGGUGGAACAACCGACCGACUGAGCGACAUUGCCAGCCAUACAGUAGAGUCGCUAGCAUGUAUCAGCUAAAAAUGAAAUUAACAUACAACAUUUGCAUUUUCAAAGGCAAGGGGCCUGCACCAGACCAGAGCAGAUGUAGCAAGAAGUCAUCUACAGAAAGUAGCUGACAGUGUUUCUUCAUCAACCUGCAUAAAUACUGAAUGCUCAACUUUGUUAGUCCUAAGCCAACACAGACACAUCCACAGUCAGUCUCUUGGCGGCAGCAUGGCGCAGCUCAUGCAUAAGGAAGUAGUGAGCAGCAGACCUGAGGAGACAUUGUGUGAAGAGAAGAUUUUCAAGUACUGAUGGAGGAAAAAGCAGAUCUGUGAGGAUGUCCUCAGUCUCUCGGUUCAAAAUUAUUACCAGUAAAUGUUAUCAUCAUUAUUGUAUGGGUAGACAUUAUGUUAUGCAAAUGAAAAAGGGUUGCAUGGAACAACAAACAGCGUCUACAAUAGACUGUCUUUGCAGUAUAUCUACCAUGUUUAAUAAAGUUGCACAGAUGGGAACUGUACUGUGGGGUAAACAGAAAGGAUUGCUGGCCUUGAGGAUGCAAAGACUAAUUGACAAUGAGAAACCGGUGGUUCAAUCCUUAUUGAUCUUGUCUAUCACUAAACUGAAAAACAGUGUCCACUAACUCUGUGCUUCCCGUGCUUAGAAAAAAAAAAAACUUCACAUGAUCUUCAGGUCUGUAACAUGUUUUUUUACGCUCACAGGAAGCUGGUUGCAAAUGUCGGGGAUACAAAAUAGAUUUUGGUACAAGACGGACAAAUCAAACUGCAGAGCUGCUAAUUGCUACGUGUUUAAAAAAAAAA